AAGACUAUACUUUCAGGGAUAAUUUUUUUUAGUUGUUGACUUGAGAAAUGUCUUUCUGAAGAGUUUGGUCUCGCUACCCAUGAUGAAGAGUUGUGAUCUUUCUUUCAAAGCAUGAAACUGAUGGGAAGACUUUGUUUCUUCUCCACUGUUGUCCAGAGUUUCUCAGAGAGACUCUGAUGGAGUCAACAUGGUCUGAGUGGA
rnacentral:snoRNA from 1 species